rnacentral:rRNA from 1 species
CACGUAUUUAGCCGUCGCUUCUUCUGCAGGUACCGUCAUUUUUUCUUCCCUGCUGAAAGCACUUUACAAUCCGAAAACCUUCAUCGUGCACACAGAAUUGCUGGAUCAGGGUUGCCCCCAUUGUCCAAUAUUCCCCACUGCUGCCUCCCGUAGGAGUAAGGGCCGUAUCUCAGUCCCCUUGUGGCCGUCCACCCUCUCAGGCCGGCUACCUAUCAUCGCCUUGGUGGGCCAUUACCCCACCAACAAGCUAAUAGAACGCAAGGCUCUCCUGCAGCAUCUCUUUUCAUCAGGCUGGACAUGAGUCCGCCUGACUUUACCAGGUCUUAUCAGUCGUUUCCGUCUGUUAUCCCUGACUGCAGGGCAAGUUCCUUACGCGUUACUCACCCGUCCGCCUUGGCUAGGCUGUGCAAGCACAGCUUCGCCAAAGACUUGCAUGUGUUAAGCAUUCUGUCAGCGUUCAUCCUGAGCCAGGAUCAAACUCU